UACGAAGGUGGCAAGCGUUGUUCGGAUUUACUGGGCGUACAGGGAGCGUAGGCGGUUUGUCGCGUCUGCUGUGAAAAAUCAGGGCUUAACCCUGGACCUGCAGUGGGUACGGGCAGACUGGAGUGCGGUAGGGGGAGAUCGGAAUUCCUGGUGUAGCGGUGAAAUGCGCAGAUAUCAGGAGGAACACCGGUGGCGAAGGCGGAUCUCUGGGCCGUAACUGACGCUGAGGAGCGAAAGCAUGGGGAGCGAACAGG
rnacentral:rRNA from 1 species